AACACGUGGGCAAUCUGCCCUUCACUCUGGGACAAGCCCUGGAAACGGGGUCUAAUACCGGAUAACACUUCCCUCCUCCUGGGGGGUGGUUAAAAGCUCCGGCGGUGAAGGAUGAGCCCGCGGCCUAUCAGCUUGUUGGUGAGGUAAUGGCUCACCAAGGCGACGACGGGUAGCCGGCCUGAGAGGGCGACCGGCCACACUGGGACUGAGACACGGCCCAGACUCCUACGGGAGGCAGCAGUGGGGAAUAUUGCACAAUGGGCGAAAGCCUGAUGCAGCGACGCCGCGUGAGGGAUGACGGCCUUCGGGUUGUAAACCUCUUUCAGCAGGGAAGAAGCGAAAGUGACGGUACCUGCAGAAGAAGCGCCGGCUAACUACGUGCCAGCAGCCGCGGUAAUACGUAGGGCGCAAGCGUUGUCCGGAAUUAUUGGGCGUAAAGAGCUCGUAGGCGGUCUGUCACGUCGGAUGUG
rnacentral:rRNA from 1 species